GUGAAUCAUCGAAUUUUUGAACGCAAAUUGCACUCUCUGGUAUUCCGGAGAGCAUGCCUGUUUGAGGGUCAGUUAAAAUAAAAAUCGUUGUGUUUGGUGUCUUUCUUGGUGACGCACCGGAUUAGGGUCGUCAUGGCUUCGGUUAAGUGAUCUAAAAUUUUUCAUGACUUAUUUCGAAGGUAUUGAAUUGAUUUUACGUACGUUUGCGAUACUGUAUACUUGGUGAGUUCAUCCUGAAGAUUCGCGCCUA
rnacentral:misc_RNA from 1 species